rnacentral:rRNA from 1 species
ACAUCCUUUGACCACUCACAGAUAGAGCUUUCCCUUCGGGGACAAACUGACAGGUGGUGCAUGGUGUCGUCAGCUCGUGUCCUGAGAUGUUGGGUUAAGUCCCGCAACGAGCGCAACCCUUAUUGUUAGUUGCCAUCAUUAAGUUGGGCACUCUAGCGAGACUGCCGGUGACAAACCGGAGGAAGGUGGGGAUGACGUCAAAUCAUCAUGCCCCUUAUGACCUGGGCUACACACGUGCUACAAUGGACAGUACAAUGAGCAGCGACACGGCGACGUGAAGCGAAUCUCAUAAAGCUGUUCUCAGUUCGGAUUGUAGGCUGCAACUCGCCUACAUGAAGCCGGAAUCGCUUGUAAUCGCGGAUCAGCACGCCGCGGUGAAUACGUUCCCGGGCCUUGUACACACCGCCCGUCACACCACGAAAGUUUGUAACACCCGAAGUCGGUGAGGUAACCGCAAGGAGCCAACCGCCUAAGGUGGGAUAGAUGAUUGGGGUGAAGUCGUAACAAGGUAACCAAGGGCGAAUUCUG